GUGUGUUCAGCCCGACCCCCGGGGCUGAACUCUGAAGACCCCGCCUCCUCCCCCCUGGCGGGGGUCUUCCUCC
rfam:Rhodococcus sp. MTM3W5.2, complete genome.